rnacentral:rRNA from 1 species
AGCCUGACGCAGCGACGCCGCGUGAGGGAUGAAGCUUCUCGGAGUGUAAACCUCUUUCGACCCGGACGAAGGCCCGCAAGGGCUUGACGGUACGGGGGGAAGAAGCCCCGGCUAACUACGUGCCAGCAGCCGCGGUAAAACGUAGGGGGCCAGCGUUGCUCGGAAUUACUGGGCGUAAAGGGUCUGUAGGCGGUGCGGUAAGUCCGGAGUGAAAUCUCCAGGCUCAACUUGGAGGCUGCUUUGGAAACUGCCGUGCUCGAGUGCGGGAGAGGCGCGCGGAAUUGCAGGUGUAGCGGUGAAAUGCGUAGAUAUCUGCAGGAACACCAGUGGCGAAGGCGGCGCGCUGGACCGCWACUGACGCUGAGAGACGAAAGCUAGGGGAGCAAACAGGAUUAGAUACCCUGGUAGUCCUAGCCCUAAACGAUCAGGACUUGACGUGGGCCCCGUCCGGGGUCCGUGCCGUAGCCAACGCGAUAAGUCCUGCGCCUGGGGAGUACGGUCGCAAGGCUG